UGAAUGGUGAACAAAAAUAAAAUCCGGC
rnacentral:piRNA from 1 species